rnacentral:rRNA from 1 species
GUGAGGAAUAUUGGUCAAUGGACGGAAGUCUGAACCAGCCAAGUAGCGUGCAGGAUGACGGCCCUAUGGGUUGUAAACUGCUUUUAUACAGGGAUAAAGUGAGGGACGUGUCCCUUUUUGUAGGUACUGUAUGAAUAAGGACCGGCUAAUUCCGUGCCAGCAGCCGCGGUAAUACGGAAGGUCCGGGCGUUAUCCGGAUUUAUUGGGUUUAAAGGGAGCGCAGGCUGAUGAUUAAGCGUGACGUGAAAUGUAGCCGCUCAACGGCUGAACUGCGUCGCGAACUGGUUAUCUUGAGUGAGUUCGAUGUUGGCGGAAUUCGUGGUGUAGCGGUGAAAUGCUUAGAUAUCACGAAGAACUCCGAUUGCGAAGGCAGCCAACAAGGCCUUUACUGACGCUAAAGCUCGAAGGUGCGGGUAUCGAACAGG